UUUAUCAUAUUUACUUAAAAUUUUCACAAUUGUGAAACGCGGCAUUCGGGAAGAUUUAACUGUUUUAUUAAUAUUAAACGACCGCCCUGUUGUGUCCGAUUAGAACAACGUGAGUGGACAAUGCGCAAAUCAGAGUAGUGGUAUUCGUUCCGUUGUCUGCAUUGACCUAUUCCAAGUCAAAGCUGUUGGGAAAAUUCACAUGAAAGUGUUUAAGACAAUACAAUGGAUUUAUAGAUCACUUUACGAAAGAUUUGUUUUUUGAGCUCCAUAUUUAUCUGCGUCAAGGUAUAAAAGGGUCACACAAUCGUUUAAAGUAUCGAGAUCAGAAAGUUUAAUAAGUACACACAACAACGCCAUGAAGAGGGUUCAAAGUUUACACCUAUUAUUUGCCAUAGCGCUUUCAGCAGUGGAUACGUUCGGUGAAGUCGCUUUGACUCCAACCAUGAGCAGUUACGCCGAGGAGAAUGUAAGCAAUGAUACUUUACCAUUGUGCAAAUUUAAGGUGUGGAACGAAAGCAAACGAUUUUUCUAUAUUCAAUACCAUGAAUCGAAUCCAGCAUUCGUCAAAUUCCGACUGAUAAUCAUUGGGACCUCCGUCGUGGAGUCGAGCCAUGCUGACGUGGUAUUGCCACAUCACUGGUUCUGGACCUACUCAACCAAUCGCUCAAAAUAUCCGUACCUCAGGUGGUUUAUUGACUUCGGUAUAGUCUCAUUUUCAUUGUUAGAUGCAAGGACAUUAGAACUUAAAUAUUUGGCGGUCGAAUCAAUACCAGAUGAAAAUUCGAUUCAGUGUAAAGUAAUAUUUGGUGAUAACAGGUCAAUGAUGAAUGCAGUGACGGCAUUAUCUGAAGAAGUUUCAAAUACACGGUCGAAUGACGAACAUAGAUUUCAACAACAGUUUUUCUGUUAUGUGACAUUACUAAAAUAUUUCAAUACUAGCAUGGAAUAUCUUGCUGGACUAUAUUUUAAUUUUCCAACUAAUAUCUUUGCAUACUCGUGCUGUGAAUUUAACUAUGAUUACUCUAACGGAACAUAUUCAGAGCCGGAAUGCAACCAAAAGCAGAAUAAAUGGACAAUGUGCACAACUGGACCGUAUAUUGUCGGAAUUCUAAUUUUAAUAUUCUUUUCUUAUUUGGAUUCAAUAUACUCGGCGCAAUGUCAAAAUCGGAAAUCAUUCAGCCUUAUGACUACGAAAGACUGAAUAUAUCUGCAUUUUUAACGCAAGAAAGACUAGAAGACGACAAAUGGAUAUUCCUUGACGUAAAACUACCAUUGACAUUGUCAGAUCUGCCUUCGAGAAUGGUAUCCGGCUUCAAACAGAAUCAUUCGUUAAUGUUUUCCCGUCUGAGGCGAUUUUUGUGCGUGCUUAGUGUACCCGUUUUAUUGUUUGCAAGGAUUUUAAUGUAUACAGACGGUAUUGGUUCAAUUAACACAAUAACUGUAGGUGAUCUUGUUUCUAAAGGCAAGCCUUUAGGAUUCGUGUCUCUUCUAGCCGCGGCUGAGGAUGCCCGAAAAACAUUUGUACCGAUUCUAGGAGGGCCGAUAACAGUUAUAUGCAUUUAUUGUAUUCUUUGAAUUAUUAUAACGGUAAUUCCCAGAAGUUUGAAACAGAUUGUUGAAAAUGGAAUGCCGACAAAACGACAAUGGUCUCCGUUAUUUUUCGGACUUGACGAAGUAUUAUGUAUGGCUCACCUUGAACCGGAAACUGAGCCCGGCUGCAUUGUGUAAAGGCAGCUUUUUGAUGCUUUUCAACGGCAUCUUUGGCGUAGACUUUUCUUCUCUCAAAACGUGCGUUUUAUGAAGUUAUACAGAAAUAAACUCAAGUUCUUUA